rnacentral:tRNA from 1 species
AUCUGGCUGGUUCAGUUGGUAUAGCAUGAGACUCUUGAUCUCAGGGUGGUGAGUUCAAGCCCCAUGUUGGGUG